UUUCGGGGUGCAGCAGGCGAGAAACCUUAGCAAUGUGCGAAAGCACGACUGGGUCAGUCCGAGUGAUUCCUGAUAAAGGAGUCUUUUGCUUGUCCUAAAAGCCCAGGCGAAUAAGGGGUGGGCAAGUUUGGUGUCAUCCGCCGCGGUAAUACCAGCACCUUGAGUGGUCAGGACGUUUAUUGGGCCUAAAGCAUCCGUAGCCGGCUCUGCAAGUCUUCGGUUAAAUCCACCUGCUCAACAGAUGGGCCGCUGGAGAUACUACAGAGCUAGGGAGUGGGAGAGGCAGACGGUAUUCAGUGGGUAGGGGUAAAAUCCUCUGAUCCAUUGAGGACCACCAGUGGUGAAGGCGGUCUGCCAGAACACGUUGGACGGUGAGGGAUGAAAGCUGGGGGAUCAAACCGGAUUAGAUACCCGGGUAGUCCCAGUNUGUAAACGAUGCAAACUCGGUGAUGCAUUGGCUUAUGGCCAAUGCAGUGCCGCAGGGAAGCCGUUAAGUUUGCAGCCUGGGAAGUACGGACGCAAGUGUGAAACAUAAAGGAAUCGGCGGGCGAGCACAAGGGNAAUUC
rnacentral:rRNA from 1 species